UGUUUGUUACUUUCUCUUAGGGCUUUUUCGCAACCCCAUCCAUUGCCAACACAAACAAGGUUGCAACAUCUCCCUCCAGUCUGUGUUCCUCUGCUUUAAAUGUCAACCAGCCACAUAGCACUGCUCACUUGCUUAAUUGGGCAAAAUACCUGCUGUGGCAGCCCUGUGCCUUGACUGCCUCCAGGAGAAAGUUUCUUGGGAAUGGUGACGGAACCUGCAAGUCGGUCUUAGUCACGUUGAUAGCAGAUACCAAGAGUCUUGCGCAGCCCUUGUAGCCAGGUGCUUUCCAUGUUCACUCCAGGUUGCUGAAACAAGAAGUGUGUCCAGCCUCCAGGGCUCGCCAGCAGCUAUUGACUGAUACGAGCACACUGUCCUCGGUGGCAGGAGGGAGCAACUUGCUUUAUCUAUGCAUUCCCUGGCAAGCAGCAUCAGUGGAGAAAGAGACAUGUCUCACUGGCCAUGUAAGGUGUCCAGUCCCUGGCAAGCCAAAUCAUUCUACAAGCUCUGAAACUGAAGACACAAAAUCAGCAAUGGAACAGUGCUGCUUGAGUCAGAGGUGCAAAGAAAUCAGCUCUCCACUCCAUGAUCCAUCCUCCAGCUCACAGCUGGUACAAAUGGGUGUGACUCAUUGCACAGCCAGAGGUUAUAAUGAAGUAUCCCACUCAUCCUUUAGCUCACCCUUUGUUCGAGACAAUGCGGAUUGCGGAAGGUUUCUGAGGAGCCAAAAGUUGGUGAAGGCUCCUGAGUGUCCCCAUUUGCCAUGCAGAGGUUCAGAGUUAGCAAUGCAGCCUGGCUGCCUACGUGCUCUCAGCUAGAGACUUUUAAAGAGCAACAGCAGGAGUAAAACUGGCCAUGUCCUGCUCAUGAGGCUCCUGCUCAGCUGCUCUGUAGCUUCCCCCCACCCGGAGGGAGGACAGGCAAGGGGAGGUGACAACCUUCAGCAAAGGUUAAGGCUGGAAAAGAAGGAAGUGUCAGCUCAAUCAGGUCAGCUCAGCCAACCAACUGCUGCUGUAAUCCCUCUGCCUCAGGUCCCUGUGCUGUUCUGCUCGUGCUCUGAAUGCUACUGUAUGAGCAGCAGCCUUGUCCCCACAGUACGGUCAGCCUGCAGCAUCCAGACAGGGAGAUGGGGAAAAAGGGUAAAGAGAAUCUCCCAGAACUGUUUCCAGAUACUCCUCUUGCAGUGUGUUUCAGGAGCAUGCACUUUGAGAUGGACUUUCCUCCAGCAGUUCAGAAGCCCAGACUUGGCACCCUCUGAUUUCUCCAGAAGAAGGCUGAGAGCUAGAUAUGGAUCAAUUCUUAUGAUGAAGCUCAUCUCCAUAAUCACAGCAAACCCAGAAGCUUUGAGAAGCUGUCAGUGAUACGACCCCAGUUCUCUCUGCCCAGGUCUGAGGUGCCUCUUCUGGUAUGGGAGCAACUGAGUCUCACCAAUCUGUCAGCAACCAGGAGGAAGCCAGGAAACAAAUAAACAAUAAAAGUUGGUGCUGC